AUUGCAGAUUUUCGUGAAUCAUCAGAAUCUUUAGAACGCACAUUGCGCCCUGUGGUAUUCCACAGGGCAUGCCUGUUUGAGCGUCAUUUCUCCCUCAAACCUCUGGUUUGGCGUUGAGUGAUACUCGGUUUACUUGAAAAACAUGAAAAGCAUAACUAUUAGGUUUUACCAACUCGUUAUACUAAUCUACAAGUUAGACCUCAAAUCAGGGACGACUACCCGCUGAACUUAACCAUAUCAAUAAUCGGAGGAACAACACCACGCAGUAUCAUUCAAACUCUUGAUCUCAAAUCAAGUCAAGACUAACCGCGAUAACUUAAGCAUAUC
rnacentral:misc_RNA from 1 species